CCCUUAGAUGUCCUGGGCCGCGCGCGCGUUACACUGAUGCAUUCAACGAGCUUAUAACCUUGGCCGAGAGGCCUGGGCAAUCUUAUUAACGUGCAUCGUGAUAGGGAUAGAUUAUUGAAAUUAUUAAUCUUGAACGAGGAAUUCCUAGUAAACGCAGAUCAUCAAUCUGCAUUGAUUACGUCCCUGCCCUUUGUACACACCGCCCGUCGCACCUACCGAUUGGAUGGUCCGGUGAAGCCUCGGGAUUGUGGUUCUUGCCGCUUUAUUGUGGCGUGACCGCGAGAACUUGUCUAAACCUUAUCAUCUAGAGGAAGGUGAAGUCGUAACA
rnacentral:rRNA from 1 species